rnacentral:rRNA from 1 species
CCUACGGGAGGCAGCAGUGGGGAAUUUUGGACAAUGGGCGAAAGCCUGAUCCAGCCAUUCCGCGUGAGUGAAGAAGGCCUUCGGGUUGUAAAGCUCUUUCGCAAGGAAAGAAAACUUAUCUCCUAAUACGGGGUGAGGAUGACGGUACCUUGAUAAGAAGCACCGGCUAACUACGUGCCAGCAGCCGCGGUAAUACGUAGGGUGCGAGCGUUAAUCGGAAUUACUGGGCGUAAAGCGUGCGCAGGCUGUUUUGUAAGUCAGAUGUGAAAUCCCUGGGCUCAACCUAGGAACUGCGUUUGAAACUACAAGGCUAGAGUGUAGCAGAGGGGGGUAGAAUUCCACGUGUAGCAGUGAAAUGCGUAGAGAUGUGGAGGAAUACCAAUGGCGAAGGCAGCCCCCUGGGUUAACACUGACGCUCAUGCACGAAAGCGUGGGGAGCAAACAGGAUUAGAUACCCUGGUAGUCCACGCCCUAAACGAUGUCUACUAGUUGUUGGGAGAGUAAAAUCUCUUAGUAACGCAGCUAACGCGUGAAGUAGACCGCCUGGGGGAGGUACGGUCGCGAGAAUAAACUAACUUAAAUUAGUAAGUUAGAGGCGNGAGACGNGCCGACGGACGACGACGAGGGAGGAGG